rnacentral:piRNA from 1 species
UCUGUUCCAUAGUCUGAAUGUGUUACUGA